rnacentral:lncRNA from 1 species
ACUGAUUAAAGUAUGAAACUGUGGAUUAUAGGAAAAGAAAAGCUACUAAAAUGAGCACAUAACAAUAGUCAAAGCAAGCCGGAUCAACACAUUUGAUGCCAACCUCUCUACCAUGAAUGAAACAAAUUAUUACCAAGACUUGUUAGUUUGCUAGUUUAUGUUUGCCCAAGUCCUCAAAUCCUAGGAUAUUCCUGAAAAACAAA